rnacentral:rRNA from 1 species
GACGAACGCUGGCGGCGUGCCUAAUACAUGCAAGUCGAACGCAGUGGGGACGGGUGAGUAACACGUGGGUAACCUCCCAUCAGAGGGGAUAACACUUGGAAACAGGUGCUAAACCGAUACUGAUGGAUGGACCCGCGGUGCAUUAGCUAGUUGGUGAGGUAACGGCAAACAAAGGCCACGAUGCAUAGCCGACCGGAGGGGGUGAUCGGCAACACUGGGACUGAGCAACGGCCCAGACUCCUAGGGAGGGAGGCAGGAGGGAAUCUUCGGCAUUGGACGAAAGUCUGACCGAGCAACGCCGCGUGAGUGAAGAGGGUUUUCGGAUCGUAAAACUCUGUUGUUAGAGAAGCGGUAUCUAACCAGAAAGCCACGGCUAACUACGUGCCAGCAGCCGCGGUAAUC